AUGAGCUGGCCAAUCUGUUGUUGGGGUAAACGACCACCCACACCAUUCUGUCUGUUGUGGGGUACGACCCCAACCAUUCUGUUGUUGGGGUACGACCCACACCAUUCUGUUGUUGGGGUACGACCCACACCAUUCUGUUGUUGGGGUACGACCAACACCAUUCUGUUGUUGGGGUACGACCCCACACAUUCUGUUGUUGGGGUACGACCAUACCAUCUGUUGUUGGGGUACGCCCACACCAUUCUGUUUGUUGGGGUACAACACACACAUCUGUUGUUGGGGUACGCCCCACACCAUUCUGUUGUUGGGGUACGACCCACACCAUUCUGUUUUUGGGCGACAAUACCAUCUGUUGUUGGGGUACGACAAUACCAUUCGUGGUUGGGGUACGACAAUACCAUUCUGUUGUUGGGUUACGCCCACACCAUCUUUGUUGGGGUACGACCCACACCAAUCGGUUGUUGGGUACGACCCACACCAUUCUGUUGUUGGGGUACGACCACACCAUUCUGGUGGGGUACGACCCCACCAUCUUCUGUUGUUGGGGUACGACCAUACCAUUCUGUGUUGUUGGGGUACGCCCACACCAUUCUGUUGUUGGGGUACAACCCCACACCAUCUGUUUGGGGACGCCCCCACCAUUCUGUUGUUGGGGUACGACCACACAUUCGUUUUUGGGGUCGACAAUACCAUUCUGUUGUUGGGGUACGACAAUACCAUUCUGUUGUUGGGGUACGCCCACACCAUUCUGUUGUUGGGGUACGACCCACACCAAUCUGUUGUUGGGGUAGCCCCACACCAUUCUGUUGUUGGUUACGACCCACACUAUUCUGUUGUUGGGGUACGACCACACUAUUCUUGUUGUGGGGUACGCCCCACUAUUCUGUUGUUGGGGUACGACAAUACCAUUCUGUUGUUGGGGUACGACCCACACCAUUCUGUUGUUGGGGUACGACCCACACCAUUCUGUUGUUGGGGUACGACCCACACCAUUUGUUGUUGGGGUACGACCCACACCAUUCUGUUGUGGGGUACGACCCACACCAUUCUGUUGUUGGGGUACGCCCACACCAUUCGUUGUUGGGUAGACCCACACUAUCUGUUGGGGUACGACCCACACCAUUCUGUUGUGGGGUACGCCCCACACUAUUCUUUGUUGGGGUACGCCCCACACUAUUCUGUUGUUGGGGUACGACCCACACUAUUCUGUUGUUGGGGUACGACCCACACUAUCUGUUGUUGGGGUACGACCCACACUAUUCUGUUGUUGGGGUAAAACCCCACACCAUUCCAACACAGAAAAGAUGCUUUUAACAUAUUUAUUUAAAAAAAGAUUGGAAGGACAGUAUUUAUCAGUAAUUAUAAGUAAUUAUAAGUCAUAUUUCAUAGAAAUCUGGAAACACUGGGAACUUACUUUAAUUAAGUUCCAGGCAGUUACAGGGCCUCUCGAGUGGCGUAUCGGUCUAAGGCAUCGCAGUGCGAGCUGUGCGCCUAGAGAUCCUGGUUCUAGUCCAGGUUCUGUCUCAGUGGUAGCUGUGUCAAUAGAGAUCCUGGUUCUAGUCCAGGCUCUGUCUCAGUGGUAGCUGUGUCACUAGAGAUCCUGGUUCUCGUCCAGGUUCUGUCUCAGUGCUUGCUGUGUCACUAAAGAUCCUGGUUCUAGUCCAGGCUCGCAUUCGUCCACGACCGGGAGAACAAUGAGGUGGUGCACAGCAUCGUCCGGGUUAGGGGAGGGUUUGGCCCAGCAUCGUCCGGGUUAGGGGAGGGUUUGGCCGGCAGGGAUGUUGUUGUCCCAUCGUGAACUAGCGACUCCUGUGGCGGGCCGGACACAAUGCACGCUGACACGGUCGCCAGGUGUUAACUGGCACGGUCGCCAGUGUUAACUCCACCACAUUGGUGCGGCUGGCUUCCGGGUUAAGCGGGCAUUGUGUCAAGAAGCAGUACGGCUUGGCUGGGUUGUGUUUUGGAGGACGCACGGCUCUCGACCUUUGCCUCUCCCGAGUCUGUACUGGAGUUGCAGCGAUGGGACAAGACUGUAACUACCAAUUGGAUACAACGAAAUUGUGGAGAAUUUUCUUAUUUUUUUAAACAGAAUAAAAUAAAAUCUAUAUUUUUUAAAGCCAACAAAGGGCAAAGCCCUAAUUCUCACUCAGAACUCUCCCAGCUGAAAAUGUCCACAUUGUCCACAAAAUGUCCACAUUUCCAUUGUGUUUUGAGUACCUGCCCCUCCCUCCCACAGAAGCAUCAUAGCUGUAGCCCCUCCCCCUCAUAAGCAUCAUAGCUGUAGCCCCUCCCUUCAAAAGCAUCAUAGCUGUAGCCCCUCCCCACCAGAGGCAUAAACUACUGUACUGACGUUUUCAAGUUUGAUUCAGAAGAUAGAGAUUUUUAAUUAGAGAAGAAGGGAUUCACUUUUUCAAUGAUACUAUAGUUAUCACGUUUCACAUCGGAUGUAUUAACUACAGAAAGGUAAGAUGUGUUUUUAAUGCUGGUGUCACUCUGAACACACACUGAAGUUCAACGUUCCUCCAUAGAAGCCUCCUCCUCCGUAGGUAUAAUUCUGUGGGUCUAAUUCAGAUAAUGAUACGCUACAACAAGAUGCACAGCUCUUCAAGACUAGCCUGCUCCUCCCUCUCUCGCUCUCUCUGCCCACAAAAUGUAUGUGGCUUCUUGCGCUCUACACUUGUCUGUCCAACACGCAUGUAAAUAACUAGCUUGCCCACUCCCAUAGCAAGCUGCUCUGUCCACACUGAUUGUUGCGGAAUGAAAGGAGUUCUGGUUCUAGAAUUUUGGUUCCAACCCCUGGGGUGUAUUCAUUACGAAACGGGGAGGGACUUAUCAGAAUUUGUCCAAUAGAAAACGGGGAUGGACUUAUCAGAAUUUGUCCAAUAGAAAAUCCGCCCAAAAUUGCAAAAUGUUCCCGAAUCAGCGAAUGUUUUACCCAGUUAGGAAACCUGACAACACAUGAGAGAAAACACACAGGAGAAAACCCUUUCCAAUGUUCCCAGUGUGGAAAGCGUUUUACCCAGUUAGGGAACCUGACAACACAUCAGAGGGAGCACACAGGGGAAGAUAAGACCACAUUUUCCAGGACACCUACAAUAAGAUCAUAAAGGGGGGGCUGUGUUUGACUGAGAAUUUGUUUUUUUUGUUGAUGUCGCAUGAAAUCAUGUUUGUAUGAAAUAUUACCACAAAAAAAUAGGCCUACUUGAGUUUUUUUCCUCUCGAGACGAGACAUUUUAAAACAUUUUGAUUGUGGAUUUGGAUUGAUUGAAUAGAACUAUGAACCCUUUAGAUGUUAAUGAUUUGAUUUGGAAAGUUGUAGAUUUUAUUAAAUAGAUUUGAAUGAAUGUGUAUUUCUUGUUUCUAACUUUGAAAAAAACUUGUCAAUUUAGUCGUUUUGUUUCAUUUAAUUAAUUUGUGUUGUCGUGUCUGUGACUAUCAUUAAAUGUGAAGACUUAUUUAUCAAAUCA
rnacentral:lncRNA from 1 species